GCCCUCCCCACGCGCGGGGGCGCCCUGACAGUCCCCUGCUGCUCCUCUGCUGGGCGCCACAACUUUCCCCAACCCGUGCCAACUUCCAGGGCACAGCCUCUGCGGAGAGUAGCAGGGUACAGUGAAUAACCCAGACACUAAAAAGCAAGGCAGCGGGGGUCCUACCAGCGCGGCUUUUGAUGACGUCGGUGAAUCCGUCCUCAGCGGCAUUUUCUGGGGUCUCCUGCAGACCCCUCAGCUGUGCCAUAACCAAACGCCACGUGCCUCAGCUUCCUCACGCCCCAAACUUUGGAAGGCAGGUCACAUGGAAUCUACACAUGGAAGGACAUAGGCAUUGCAUGCAGGUAUCCGGAAUCAUUGAUAUUGGUCUUAAAAUUUGGAAGUUUCCACUUUUGCUAAGAAAAGGCACGUGUUGGUGAUCAGAUGACCCCCAGAAAAACUGCAGAUGCCCAUGUGAGGACACAACAAGAAGGCAUCACCAAUGAAGAAUAGGCCUUCAUCAGACAUCCAAUCUGCAGGCCUCUUGAUCUUGGACUUCCUAAUCUACAGAAUUAUCUACUGCAUUUUGUGUAACCAUCAUUCAUCAACUCAUGGACAUUUGAGUUACUUCCACUUCUUGGCUACAGUGAAUAUUGCUGCGCUAAACACUCACAUAAAAAUCUUUGUGUGAACAUA
rnacentral:lncRNA from 1 species